rnacentral:rRNA from 1 species
UUGAUUACGUCCCUGCCCUUUGUACACACCGCCCGUCGCUGCCCGGGACUGAGCCAUUUCGAGAAACUUGGGGACUGCUGAUCCGGUGGCUUCGGCCUCCGCUUCGGUGGAAACCAAUUUAAUCGCAGUGGCUUGAACCGGGCAAAAGUCGUAACAAGGUAGCUGUAGGUGAACCUGCUGCUGGAUCAUUACACGUACCGUGACGGU